rnacentral:lncRNA from 1 species
AUCUAGCUGCAGGAUGUCCUUCCGCAGUCUGUGUGCUGUGUGGUGCUGUACAGUUGGCUGUGAGACUAUAACUCAGCAUUGGAAACUCAAUUCAGCCCAGUUUAUGGUGUCCGAGUCAGCCAUGACUGUGCAACAGUGUGCCAGCAUCACCCGGACCCCUUCAUUUUAUCAUUCACACUUGUGCUUUUCCUAAUGUAACAUGACACAAUGUCUGCUGUGACAAACCCCCAUGUGGUGAACCUUGAACCACAGAGGCAGAGCUGCUGAUGUCAGAUCCUGUUCCAGGUAGAAGAGGAAGUGUGUGUCCUACCUUCAUGUCUGUGCAGAGCGGGGUCAGAACCCUUCUGGCGUGAGAUUUCCUCGUCAUUUUCUCUGGUGGACAAAAUCAGAGAGAGAGAGAGAGAAAGUAAGAAAAUAUCUGUUGUACAUAUUAAUAUGAAUAGGCUCCAAAAUCUGAAAUCAGAAAGUGGUUUAAAUUAACUACUUCACUCCUGUGUGCCUCUCUUGCCAGCUUUAUUCUAAUUUCAGAUAUCCUUACAUUUUGGACAUAACCAACAUAAAAGUAAUAAUACCAAAAUAUUUAUGAAAAAAAAAACUGCAACUUGACUGGCAAGGCUUGUCCAUGCGUAUUCAUUCAGCUAUGAGUGGUGAACUCAGAGCCGGGCGUGUAGCCACCUCACUCACAUGAACGAAUCAAUGUAGAAAACUGCUGUAAUGAAUUCAGGAAGGCCUUGUCCUUGAACUUGUAACGAUGUUUGACAAGUACAUUUGUGCAAGGGGAGAAUACAGUACAUCUCGCCCUUUACUUAUCUUCCCUCAUUCUCAUUCGCUCAUGUGAUGAAAACUAGGACGAAUUAUUUAAAAAAUACUGUCUUUCCGUAAAGAAUCUGUUUAAAAAAUAAAAAGGUUUACUCCAUAAAAAGAGUACAAGAGCGGCGGUGUUUACCCUCCUGAUAAUUUACCUCUCUCUCCUGCCAUAUCUUAACACUAAUUACAGCUUCCUCUCUCUCUGUGCGACAGAAAGGUUGGGGAUGCAUUUUUAAGCAGGCUGACGCCAUCAAUAAUUCACACAGCAUCCACGGACAAUAUGUGCGCUUCUGUUUGCCAGAAUUUGUGAGUUUCUCUCAACUGUGCCUGCGUUGUGCAUCAGGUUCAUAUAUAAAAUUAUGGCUAGAGAAUCAUAUU